rnacentral:rRNA from 1 species
AGAGCGAACGCUGGCGGCAGGCUUAACACAUGCAAGUCGAGCGGGCGUAGCAAUACGUCAGCGGCAGACGGGUGAGUAACGCGUGGGAACGUACCUUUUGGUUCGGAACAACCCAGGGAAACUUGGGCUAAUACCGGAUAAGCCCUUACGGGGAAAGAUUUAUCGCCGAAAGAUCGGCCCGCGUCUGAUUAGCUAGUUGGUGGGGUAAUGGCCCACCAAGGCGACGAUCAGUAGCUGGUCUGAGAGGAUGAUCAGCCACAUUGGGACUGAGACACGGCCCAAACUCCUACGGGAGGCAGCAGUGGGGAAUAUUGGACAAUGGGCGCAAGCCUGAUCCAGCCAUGCCGCGUGAGUGAUGAAGGCCCUAGGGUUGUAAAGCACUUUUGUCCGGAAAGAAAACUUCUGCCCUAAUACGGUGGAGGAUGACGGUACCGGAAGAAUAAGCACCGGCUAACUACGUGCCAGCAGCCGC